rnacentral:rRNA from 1 species
AGAGUUUGAUCCUGGCUCAGAUUGAACGCUGGCGGCAUGCCUUACACAUGCAAGUCGAACGGUAACAGGUCUUCGGAUGCUGACGAGUGGCGAACGGGUGAGUAAUACAUCGGAACGUGCCUAGUAGUGGGGGAUAACUACUCGAAAGAGUGGCUAAUACCGCAUGAGAUCUACGGAUGAAAGCAGGGGAUCGCAAGACCUUGUGCUACUAGAGCGGCCGAUGGCAGAUUAGGUAGUUGGUGGGAUAAAAGCUUACCAAGCCGACGAUCUGUAGCUGGUCUGAGAGGACGAUCAGCCACACUGGGACUGAGAUACGGCCCAGACUCCUACGGGAGGCAGCAGUGAGGAAUAUUGGACAAUGGGCGAAAGCCUGAUCCAGCAACGCCGCGUGAACGAUGAAGCUGCUCUGCAGUGUAAAGUUCUGUAAGGAGGGACGAGGACCCGGGUAUUGCCCGGGGGGGACGGUACCUCUUAAGUAAGCACCGGCUAACUCCGUGCCAGCAGCCGCGGUAAUACGGGGGGUGCAAGCGUUGUCCGGAUUUAUUGGGCGUAAAGGGCUCGUAGGCGGGAUGGUAAGUCUGGCGUGAAAUCUCUCGGCUCAACCGGGAAGCUGCGCUGGAAACUGCCGUUCUUGAGUUGCGGAGAGGAAGUUGGAAUUCCUGGUGUAGCGGUGGAAUGCGUAGAUAUCAGGAAGAACACCAAUAGCGAAGGCAAACUUCUGGCCGCCAACUGACGCUGAGGAGCGACAGCGUGGGGAGCAAACAGGAUUAGAUACCCUGGUAGUCC